rnacentral:lncRNA from 1 species
GGGAUUCAAAAUGUCAAGGAAUUAGGAAUCUGUAGAUAUGGAAAUGUGACUGACUUUAAUGGGCUUCUCAACAAUCUUGUCCAUCUGCAGCAACUUGAAACAUUGAGUGUUAUAAUUUGUUAUAACCUUUUGCCAUCAAGUGCAAAAGCUUUUCCAGCAACGAUCAAGAAGCUGAAGUUAAACAGUACUUAUCUAAGUUGGUCGUACUUGGA